rnacentral:rRNA from 1 species
UACGGAGGAUGCAAGCGUUAUCCGGAAUCACUGGGCGUAAAGCGUCUGUAGGUGGUUUAAUAAGUCAACUGUUAAAUCUUGAGGCUCAACCUCAAAAUCGCAGUCGAAACUAUUAGGCUAGAGUAUAGUAGGGGUAAAGGGAAUUUCCAGUGGAGCGGUGAAAUGCGUAGAGAUUGGAAAGAACACCGAUGGCGAAGGCACUUUACUGGGCUAUUACUAACACUCAGAGACGAAAGCUAGGGUAGCAAAUGGG